GUAUAUGAGGUCCAUAAUAAGAGCAAUUUUGAGUUUUUGUAGGAGUGGGAAGAGCACCCUUUUUCAUACCUACACUUGGUCGAAGUUCACAUCGUUGGCCCAAACCAAGGUCAAGGCCCGAUAAAAAGGUGAGAAAAAAUCAAACAAACACAAGGUGCGGCGCCUCUCACCCAAAAAUCCGUAACCCUAAUAACCUACAGCAGUUACCACGUCUAUAAAUCUCAUCUCAAACACUCUUCGUUCUCAUUCAUCCGGUGCUGUAGCGGCAUCUGCACAAAGCCAAGCGAAGCGUAAUUUUCCUGUUUAUUAUAUUUCUUCUCUUUCACUCAAGUUUUGUCUCCUAUUAAAAAUUUGAUAUGUUUUGUCAUCUAUUGUCGUUUUAUCAUUUAGCAUCUUAGUUUUAUUGUUUGAUAUCUAUGAUACCCAGUGAGGAGGAUCUCCCAAUAAUUGAUAGGAAGUGCCGUAUGACACUCUAAACAGCAGCUCCGUCUCAGAAUCCUCUCAUCCGCCGAUAUAUGUUAUCGGCCGAGUUUAUUCUUUGCGGCGCUGUGUGUGAGAUUUGAAACGGGUCUCCUGAGGGUUCAUAAUAUACAUCUUCACAUCUUUUUGUUUAAUAUUUACGAAUUAGGUCCGAUGCCACGUCGGUGGUAGCUAUACGAUAGCUCUGACCUUCGAUGCUAUGAUUGGACCAAAAUCAAGAGUGAAUUUCAUUCGUUUCGCAUUCUGAUAGGAAUCUGCAAAUCUUAUAUAACGUGAUUCUGCAGAGCCGAUUUGUGCGAUUACAUUUUGUUACUUAAUUAUUUUGAUUUUUUUAAUUGAAGCUCAUGAUGAUAAAAAUAGAACUGGAAUUACCAUCUGAAUAGUUUAUUCUUUGAUGUAAAUAUCUUGGCUGUGGUACUGAGGCUUCCAUUUGUUUUCAUAUAUGGCAUUUUCUUUUAGCUUCUUUAUAUUUAGAUACUAGGUGAAGUGUUUGAUAAUUAGUUAGGCCUAUGAUGAUUCAAUUGAAUUGGAAUUACCGUCUGAAUGUAUUUAUUUUGUUGAAAAAUUCUGGCUGUUUCUGAGGCUUUGGAUUAUAAUAUAUUUUUUUUUUAAUGUUUCAGUCAUUUACCUUUGUAUUAAAUGAAACGAAUUUUCGUUCACAUUUUAUAUUUUGAUGAAAAAUUCUGGCUGUUUCUGAGGUUUGGAUGGAGUAGACAUUAUAAUAGAAUUCUAUAUUGUAAUGGUUGUUAUAAAUAUGGAGAUAGACUCUCUAUUUUAAAAUUUUAAUAAUAAUAAUAUUAUAUAAUGUAUAACAUUAUAUUUUUAUGUUAAAA